UAGGGAAUCUUCCACAAUGGACGCAAGUCUGAUGGAGCAACGCCGCGUGAGUGAAGAAGGUUUUCGGACCGUAAAGCUCUGUUGUUGGUGAAGAAGGAUAGAGGUAGUAACUGGCCUUUAUUUGACGGUAAUCAACCAGAAAGUCACGGCUAACUACGUGCCAGCAGCCGCGGUAAUACGUAGGUGGCAAGCGUUGUCCGGAUUUAUUGGGCGUAAAGCGAGCGCAGGCGGAAGAAUAAGUCUGAUGUGAAAGCCCUCGGCUUAACCGAGGAAUUGCAUCGGAAACUGUUUUCUUGAGUGCAGAAGAGGAGAGUAGAACUCCAUGUGUAGCGGUGGAAUGCGUAGAUAUAUGGAAGAAUACCAGUGGCGAAGGCGGCUCUCUGGUCUGCAACUGACGCUGAGGCUCGAAAGCAUGGGUAGCGAACAGGAUUAGAUACCCUGGUAGUCCAUGCCGUAAACGAUGAGUGCUAAGUGUUGGGAGGCUUCCGCCUCUCAGUGCUGCAGCUAACGCAUUAAGCAUCUCCGCCUGGG
rnacentral:rRNA from 1 species